rnacentral:misc_RNA from 1 species
ACACCUCAACUCUCAUGGUCCACCAUGACGAGCUUGGACUUUGGGGGUCUUGCCGGCCUAUCGCCGGCUCCUCUCAAACAGAUCAGCUUGCCAGCGUUUGGUGGCAUCACGGGUGUGAUAACUAUCUACGCUUGUGGUUUCCCACCAGGUAACCUUCAGUGGAUGGAGGUUCGCUGGGGCUCAUAAACGUCUCUCCUCAGUGAGGACAGCUCUUUGAAC